UCCUCAAUAGCUCAGUCGGUAUAGCGCAUGACUGUUAAUCAUGAUGUCACUGGUUCGAGUCCAGUUUGGGGAGCCA
rnacentral:tRNA from 1 species